CUCAGCUGCAGGCCAGAACCGCCAUCUGCUCAACGUGUCCCGGCCUGGUCCUGCGCCUCUAGCUGGUUUUGGAACUUCCAGAACAAUCAUACAUGAUUUUUGUACAGCAGCCCUCUGCACAGCACCAUGAAUUGUGCAGUUUUAGGAGCAGAAGUAAAUACAGGUAUUAAACCAGAGGAUAUGGAAAAAUUACUGCUUUUUCCACAAUAAAUUGGCAAGAAGGCAGGAUCUGUACUCUAAAAGAUUUUAGUUUCCAACAUGUGUGAUUGUGGAAUCUCAUCUAUUUUUCAUCUUUGACUGCCCAAAUCUCUGCUGGCGUAAAAAAAAGAACUCUCUGUGAACGACUACACUUUAUCUUAGCCCAGAGUUAUUCCUUAAAAACCUCUGCAUAUUCUUACAUCAUGCCCUGGGAAGCUGUCACUAAUUAGGGACAGAUGAAUCAAUCCUGAUAAAAUUAAAUCCUGGUUCAACUUUUGCCCCAGUUUCUCCUUUCCUGCCGCCCACAGGAGCCUGGAGUGCCUGCCUUGUUCUCACGUCUUUGGUUUUGGUUACUGGAAUUCUUUGGGAAUACAGGAAUGGGAUGCUUUCUGUCCUAUCUAGAAGAAAAGCUGUGCUUGUUGCAGCAAAGAAACCUCAGACUCAACAAGCCUCAAGGGGAGGUGAACAGAAACCAAAGCUUUACUUUGCUGAAAAAGAAAAAAAAAUCAAUUUGCAUUAAUCAAAAACCUCUUAAGAGAUUUCCAACGUGGUUUUUCCAGACUCAAGGAGCUUUGGAGGCAGAGGAUUCCCACUGGCUGGGUUGGAGUCUCUGCUGGCAUCCAUUUGGGGUGUCUAAUCCAACAGAUCUCCCACUGAUAUCCACCAAAGCUCCCCUCUUGGAGGUUCCUUCAUCAAACCAAAUCACCUGCGGUCCAAGGAGAGUGUGCCUGUGGAAUGACAUCCAAGGGAAAACUUGGCAUGUCAGCAGAAGUACAUUUAGAGCUGAUUUAUAGUCGGGUGUGAGAGUGGAAAAUCGGCUUUGCAGUGUUGGGAUGGACACCAGCAGCUUUUCCCUCAGCCAGGCUGAACCAUGAGGCUUCCUGAAAUUCAUUUAUCACUGCUCUCCCAAGAUCCUUGGGAACAAGCUGAGGGUAAUUCUGCAUUCCACAAACUUUCUUCUCCCACUGCUGGAUUCAAGGAAGGCUCCAAUUACUUCCCUGAUCAGGCUUUGCUCCUGCACAAAUCCCUCAAUCAAAUAUCCACAGCAACCUUCCCUUUGGGACAGAGGGUCGAGGAGUUUUCCUGAACAGCCAGUACAGGUGACAGUCCCACAGCAAAUCCCUUUUACAACCUGAUUUCCAGCACCUUCCUUUCUUAACAGGGAAAACUUGAUAUUUUUCCAAUAAAACAUAUGCAAAUCUCA